rnacentral:rRNA from 1 species
UCACGCAUCGCGUCUCCCCCAAAUCCACUCUGAGUGGAGGGGAAGGAGGAUGGUCUCCCGUGACUCACCGGUCGCGGCUGGCCUAAAAUUGGAGCCCUCAGCAUCGGGAUGKUGUGGCGAUAGGUGGUGAACAAGGCCUCGGCCAAGCAAGCAACCAGCCGCGCGUGACGAUGCCAACGUGAGCUCGAAGGACCCUUUAAGUUGCUUAACGGCAACCUAACUGUUGCGAC